AUCCGAGAGCAUGAUUUCCUAUCAGAGGGACUCAAAAUGAAAGAAGAGCUCGAGCACGCGUUCGGAGGAGGUUUGCCUCGAGACGUGCAAUUGAAACCCAAGCGAUCGUUGUCCCAUAGUGACUUUCUUGAGCCCGACCACACCCUCGCAGGAAGGGGGAUCUCCGUCCCUCCUAUUCCUGUUCAAUCAAAGUCGCUUAGUAGUAUUGAG